UGGGGAAUUUUGGACAAUGGGCGAAAGCCUGAUCCAGCAAUGCCGCGUGUGUGAAGAAGGCCUUCGGGUUGUAAAGCACUUUUGUCCGGAAAGAAAUGGCUCUGGUUAAUACCUGGGGUCGAUGACGGUACCGGUAGAAUAAGGACCGGCUAACUACGUGCCAGCAGCCGCGGUAAUACGUAGGGUGCAAGCGUGUAUCGGAAUUACUGGGCGUAAAGCGUGCGCAGGCGGUUGUGCAAGACCGGUGUGAAAUCCCCGGGCUUAACGUGGGAAUUGCAUUUGUGACUGCAUGGCUAGGGUGUGUCAGGGGGGGGUGGAAUUCCACGUGUAGCAGUGAAAUGUGUAGAGAUGUGGAGGAAUACCGAUGGGGAAGGCAGCCGCCUGGGAUAACACGGACGCUAAUGAACGAAAGGGGGGGGAGAAAACAGG
rnacentral:rRNA from 1 species